CCUACGGGUGGCAGCAGUGGGGGAUAUUGCACAAUGGGGGGAACCCUGAUGCAGCGACGCCGCGUGGGUGAAGGAGUGCUUCUGCGUGUAAAGCCCUAUCGGCAGGGAAGAAGCAUGACGGUACCUGACUAAGAAGCCCCGGCUAACUACGUGCCAGCAGCCGCGGUAAUACUUAGGGGGCGCGCGUUAUCCGGAUUCACUGGGUGUAAAGGGAUCGUAGGCGGCCAGGGAAGCCAGGGGUGAAAGCCCGGGGCCCAACCCCGGGAAUGCCCUUGGAACUGUGCGGCUAGAGUGCGGGAGGGGCAGGCGGAAUUCCUGGUGUAGCGGUGAAAUGCGUAGAUAUCAGGAGGAACACCGGGGGCGAAGGCGGCCUGCUGGACUGCGACUGACGUUGAGGCUCGAAAGCGUGGGGAGCGAACAGGAUUAGAUACCCGAGUAGUC
rnacentral:rRNA from 1 species